rnacentral:miRNA from 1 species
UGAGCUAAAUCCUCAGGCCCACAAAAUGUUCCUUAAAAAGUGUGGUGAGGGGUCUGGAGAGUUGGCUCAGCAGU